AACGAACGCUGGCGGCAUGCCUAACACAUGCAAGUCGAACGAGACCUUCGGGUCUAGUGGCGCACGGGUGCGUAACGCGUGGGAACCUGCCCUUAGGUUCGGAAUAACUCCCCGAAAGGGGUGCUAAUACCGGAUAAUGUCUUCGGACCAAAGAUUUAUCGCCUUUGGAUGGGCCCGCGUUGGAUUAGCUAGUUGGUAGGGUAAAAGCCUACCAAGGCGACGAUCCAUAGCUGGUCUGAGAGGAGGAUCAGCCACACUGGGACUGAGACACGGCCCAGACUCCUACGGGAGGCAGCAGUGGGGAAUAUUGGACGAUGGGCGAAAGCCUGAUCCAGCAAUGCCGCGUGAGUGAUGAAGGCCUUAGGGUUGUAAAGCUCUUUUACACGGGAUGAUAAUGACAGUACCGGGAGAAUAAGCUCCGGCUAACUCCGUG
rnacentral:rRNA from 1 species